UAACACGUGGGUAACCUGCCUGUAAGACUGGGAUAACUCCGGGAAACCGGGGCUAAUACCGGAUGGUUGUUUGAACCGCAUGGUUCAAACAUAAAAGGUGGCUUCGGCUACCACUUACAGAUGGACCCGCGGCGCAUUAGCUAGUUGGUGAGGUAACGGCUCACCAAGGCAACGAUGCGUAGCCGACCUGAGAGGGUGAUCGGCCACACUGGGACUGAGACACGGCCCAGACUCCUACGGGAGGCAGCAGUAGGGAAUCUUCCGCAAUGGACGAAAGUCUGACGGAGCAACGCCGCGUGAGUGAUGAAGGUUUUCGGAUCGUAAAGCUCUGUUGUUAGGGAAGAACAAGUACCGUUCGAAUAGGGCGGUACCUUGACGG
rnacentral:rRNA from 1 species